GCCGGCGUAGCUCAACGGUAGAGCAUCCGAUUUGUAAUCGGAAGGUUGCGGGUUCAAAUCCCAUCGCCGGCUCCA
rnacentral:tRNA from 1 species